rnacentral:rRNA from 1 species
GACGAACGCUGGCGGCGUGCUUAACACAUGCAGGUCGAACGGAAAGGCCCUGCUUUUGUGGGGUGCUCGAGUGGCGAACGGGUGAGUAACACGUGAGUAACCUGCCCUUGACUUUGGGAUAACUUCAGGAAACUGGGGCUAAUACCGGAUAGGAGCUCCUGCUGCAUGGUGGGGGUUGGAAAGUUUCGGCGGUUGGGGAUGGACUCGCGGCUUAUCAGCUUGUUGGUGGGGUAGUGGCUUACCAAGGCUUUGACGGGUAGCCGGCCUGAGAGGGUGACCGGCGACAUUGGGACUGAGAUACGGCCCAGACACCUACGGGAGGCAGCAGUGGGGAAUAUUGCACAAUGGGCGGAAGCCUGAUGCAGCAACGCCGCGGGCGGGAUGACGGCCUUCGGGUUGUAAACCGCUUUCGCCUGUGACGAAGCGUGAGUGACGGUAAUGGGUAAAGAAGCACCGGCUAACUACGUG